GCCAGGCGCAGUGGCACAUACCUAUAUUCCCAGCUACUUGGGAGGCUGAGGUGGGAGGAUUGCUGGAACCCAGGAGCCCUGGGCUAUAGUGCACUAUGCUGAUUGGGUGUCCACACUAAAUUUGGCAUCAAUAUGGUGACCUCCUAGGAGCAAAGACCACCAGGUCACCUAAGGAGGAGUGAACCAGCCCAGGUCAGAUGUGGAGCAGGUCAAAACGCCUGUGCUGAUCAGUAGUGGGAUUGCACCUGUGAAUAGCCACUGCACUCCAACCUGGGCAACAUAGCAAGAUCCCAUCACUA
ensembl:misc_RNA Metazoa_SRP Metazoan signal recognition particle RNA